rnacentral:rRNA from 1 species
UUUCGACGAGUCGAGUUGUUUGGGAAUGCAGCUCAAAAUGGGUGGUAAAUUUCAUCUAAAAGCUAAAUAUUGGCCAGAGACCGAUAGCGCACAAGUAGAGUGAUCGAAAGAUGAAAAGCACUUUGGAAAGAGAGUCAAACAGUACGUGAAAUUGUUGAAAGGGAAGCGCUUGCAACCAGACUUGCCCGCGGGUGAUCAGCCGGUAUUCUUACCGGUGCACUCGCCCGUGGUCAGGCCAGCAUCGGUUUGGGCGGCUGGAUAAAGUCCACCGGAAUGUAGCUCCUCUCGGGGAGUGUUAUAGCCGGAGGUGCCAUGCAGCCCGCCCGGACCGAGGACCGCGCUUCGGCUAGGAUGCUGGCGUAAUGGUUGUAAGCGACCCGUCUUGAAACACGGACCAAGGAGUCUAACAUCUAUGCGAGUGUUUGGGUGUCAAACCCAUGCGCGUAAUGAAAGUGAACGGAGGUGGGAACCCUUAAGGGUGCACCAUCGACCGAUCCUGAUGUCUUCGGAUGGAUUUGAGUAAGAGCAUAGCUGUUGGGACCCGAAAGAACUAUGCCUGAAUAGGGUGAAGCCAGAGGAAACUCGCAGCGGUUCUGACGUGCAAAUCGAUCGUCAAAUUU